rnacentral:rRNA from 1 species
ACAGAGGGUGCGAGCGUUGUCCGGAAUCACUGGGCGUAAAGGGCGCGUAGGUGGUGGCUUAAGCGUGCGGUGAAAGCUCGGAGCUCAACUCCGAGUCGGCCGUGCGAACUGGGCUCACUGGAGCAUAGUAGAGGCAGGUGGAAUUCCGGGUGUAGCGGUGGAAUGCGUAGAGAUCCGGAAGAACACCGGUGGCGAAGGCGGCCUGCUGGGCUAUGGCUGACACUGAGGCGCGACAGCGUGGGGAGCAAACAGGA